AAAAAGUUUACUGCUCUCAGAGAUAAAAUUUCAGAUUUUCUUCUGUAGCAAGAAGAUAUUUGGUCACAUUCUGCAACUGUUUUGGGUUACAGGUGCUUCUCGCACUUUCAUGGUUAUAGCAAGGAAGACUAGAAGCAAAGCUGCAUUUUGUUUUUGGUUUUAAUGAAUACUGGGAUGCUGGAGUCCCUGUAGUCUGUGAGAAGUACUUACUACAGCAAACUACUUAGACAUGAAAUAGUGUGCCCUGAAUUAAUUUAUUUCCCUACACAUUCCUUUGUCUCUGUAUUGUCUAUUUCACAAACAGUAUCCUUUAAAAAUGAUUUCUGAAGGAUUUCAAGCCUAUUCCCUGUUCCACUAAACUGUAACAACAUUUAUGUAAGAUCACAUGCAAAAUAAACAGAAGUGAUGAGCUUGGCUGUACAACUCUGGGUAUACAAGAAUUUUUUUAAUUCAUAUAAAGUUGUACUGAAACUAGCUGGGACAGAAUUAACUUUAUGCACAGCUAUCCAUGUGGGGCUGUGAUUUGCACUUGUAGCUUGAACAGCGCUGACAUUACACCAAUGUUUUCUCUAUUACUCAGUAGUGCUGACACCGCACUAAGGCUCUCUCAGAGCCCCCACCCAAUGAAGGCUAGCAGACAGGGGGUGGGCAAGAGAUGAGGAGGGGACACAGCCAGGGCAGCUGAUUGAAACUCACCAGGGGGUAUUCCAUGCCAUAUGAUGUCACACACAGCCAUAAAAGCUGUGGAAGGGGAAGGAGAAAGGGACACUCUCAUUGUGGAAACAUCCGUGUUACCAAAGAACUGCUACAUGUAAUGAAGAUUUGCUUCCCAUUUUGUGGCUGAAGAUCACUUCUGAUGGGAAGUAGAGAACAAUUGUCUACUCCUCUUGCUUCUGCAUAGCCUUUUCUCAUGUUUCUUUUCCUUCAGUCAAAGUGCUUGUAAUCUCAACCCAUGAGCCUUUUUUAAAUCAUAUUUUCUCCCCAUUUUUUUUGAGGAGAGGGUGUCAGAAUGUAGAGUGGUGGGUCUUAACUGCCCAUUGGUGUGAAACCACCAGAAACCAUAGUCAUCUGGUAGUGACAGAGAACACCAUCCUCUUUUACUUGCUAAUUUGAAGUAACUGCUCACAUAUGAUUACAGCAAAGCUAGUAGGCUGCCACGUAUGGGCUAGUGAACAACAGCUUUCAGGUGUGAUACAGAUUCCCUCCUCCUUAAUUGAGUUAGUGGUAGAUGAUUGUAAUGCUACUAAGCAGUACAUUUAGAAGAGGAGAAUUCUGCACUAAUGGAUGCUUGUGAAAAGACUGAGAGGAUCUAAAUAUGUUAAAGAAUGUACAAAGGGAGAAGUGUGAUGAGAAUAAUAGAAUAAUUCAAAAUUUAAAAAAAGUAUAGCAGCAGUGAGGCAAUUUCUUCAGGAUUCAGAUAAUGAUAUUUUCUUCUUACCGUCAUAAUUACAUGAUUUUGAUACGUUCUUCAGAUCAUUUUAGUGAUUUAUUAUUAAAAAAACAACACACUUUUCACUUUUGAAGUUCUGGAACCUAAGAUAUGUGCUUUUUUCCUUACUUUUCAGGCUAGUAAGAAGUAAUGAACUAAUUUCUUGGAGU
ensembl:lncRNA